UCUGAUGAAGCAAUUACUAGAAGUCUAGAAUAGUAAAAAAAAACUUGCAGGGAAAGCUGUUCUCAGCUUCUGAAUCCAUUCAAGCUAGAGCUCAAGCAGCCGUUCUUUUGAAGCAGUUGGAUUUUCCAGUGGAUAGUUUACACUUUACAGGUAAAACUGCUUGAAAAGUU